CUCUCUAUAUAUGUAUCGACUUUAAACAAUAGUUGACUUCUCUCUGUAUAUUGUCCUCUUCAACAAAGCAUCAGUGAACCACUUCAAAACAAUACCAUCCCUGUAGCUGCUUCACAAUCACCCCUGCUCUGCUUGGCUUUCCUUAGCAACCUUAAACGCCACGUCAAUGAAUAAAGUUGUGCUAUAAAGGUGGAACUAAAAGAUGACAAAAUUAAUAAAAAAGCCAUAAAGGCAGUCUCCAGUUUUUCAGUAUCCAAGUUAGAAUUAUUUGAAGGGGAUUAUUUCAGGGGCUGAAUCAGUCUCAGUGGAUAUGAAGGACCAGAAAUUGACCUUAAUUGAAGACAUCGAUCCUGCGGUUGUAGUGGACAAGCUGAGAGAGCUAUGUCACACUGACAUACUCUCUAUUGGACCACCAAGGAAAAGA